GGCGGGGUAGCUCAGUUGGUUAGAGUACCGCAUUCAUAAUGCGGCUGUCACCGGUUCAAGUCCGGUCCCCGCUA
rnacentral:tRNA from 1 species